AACGAACGCUGGCGGCAGGCUUAACACAUGCAAGUCGAACGCACCUUUCGGGGUGAUUGGCAGACGGGUGAGUAACGCGUGGGAAUCUACCCUUCUCUACGGGAUAGCUCCGUGAAACUGGACUUCAUACCGUAUACGUCCUGAGGGAGUAAGAUUUAUCGGGGAAGGAUGAGCCCGCGUUGGAUUAGCUAGUUGGUGGGGUAAAGGCCUACCAAGGCGACGAUCCAUAGCUGGUCUAAGAGGAUGAUCAGCCACAUUGGGACUGAGACACGGCCCAAACUCCUACGGGAGGCAGCAGUGGGGAAUAUUGGACAAUGGGCGCAAGCCUGAUCCAGCCAUGCCGCGUGAGUGAUGAAGGCCCUAGGGUUGUAAAGCUCUUUCAGUGGGGACGAUAAUGACGGUACCGACAGAAGAAGCCCCGGCUAACUUCGUG
rnacentral:rRNA from 1 species